ensembl:lncRNA
CGUCACAUGACUGCAACUAGGAAACGGGGCUUUGAGAGCUAUCAGUAGAUAUUUCUUAAACGCGAUAACAGAAAGUACUAUCUUUUAUGUUACUCCCUUGCUCGUUGAAAGUGGUCCCGACACGAUAAGAAGCAACAUGUUACAGCACUUGGAUCGGGAUGAUUUUCACAGACCACUACCACAACAACCCUGUCAUGGUGUGUUUCUGCCAUCUUCUCCUGGAGAGACAACAGAGGACCACAGAGGCAGAAUCGUACUCCACGUUCCACAACACACCUUCGCCAGAUUCAGCCCGUGGAAGCAGGGCCAGGCGGUGAUGGAUGCUCCUCUACACCCUGAUGAAGAACCCACGACUGAUCCUCCUGAGGAAGAACAGGACCUCCUCCAGUCCCACUCACCAGGACACUGUUGUCCAAGCCUGGCUGCUGGCCUCUCAGACCGAACAGAUGGGACAGGCACCAGAGACGACAGCCACAGCCGUUACAUCAGAUCAGACGACGGCCAAUGGGCAGGCAUUAACUGACUGAUUCUGCUCAUGGCUUAUACAUGCGCAGCCUGAAAUAGUGUAGUACAAUAAUGUGACAUAACAUUUAGUAGGCCUACACACAUUUCGAGGACACCUUUUUGGCUCAUGGGUGCUACAUUUGAUACUACAGGCCAAGCUCUUACAAUGCAUUGUUUUGUAUGUGAUGAAUCAUGGGAAAUGGGGAUAACAACUGAAAUGUGUCUUCUGCAUUUAACCCAACCCCUCUGAAUCAGAGAGGUGCCGGGGGCUGGCUUAAUUGACAUCUACAUCUUUGGCACCCAGAGAACAGUGGGUUAACUGCCUUGCUUAGGGGCAGAACAACAGAUUCUUACCUUGUCAGCUCGGGGAUUCUAUCCAGCAAACUUUUGGUUACUGGGCCAAUGUUCUAACCAUUAGGCUAAUAUGAUUAAUGCAUUAUAAAUUCGGAAAUACCUACAUAAUUACUCCUACUGGGAAAAAUGAUAGGACAAAUUGGACAUAGUUAUGCUUUUUACCUCAUAACGGUCCAUUUGUUUUUACUAGGCCACGUAGCCACAGGAAGUAGAGGUGCUGAGGGUGUUGCAGCACUCUAAAAAAUCUGAAUAAAAAAUAUACAGUACCAGUCAAAAGUUUGGACACACCUACUCCAACCUCGGCCAACAGCUCCGCCCCCCCGGCAGCUCCUCGCCCAAGCCUCUCCAGGUUCUCCUUUACCCAAAUCCAGAUAGCAGAUGUUCUGAAAGAGCUGCAAAACCUGGACCCGUACAAAUCAGCUGGGCUUGACAAUCUGGACCCCCUAUUUCUGAAACUUUGCGCCGCCAUUGUCGCAACCCCUAUUACCAGCCUGUUCAACCUCUCUUUCAAAUCGUCUGAGAUCCCCAAGGAUUGGAAAGCUGCCGCAGUCAUCCCCCUCUUCAAAGGGGGAGACACCCUGGACCCAAACUGUUACAGAUCUA